GCCGAAGUGGCGGAACGGGCAGACGCGCUGCGUUCAGGGCGCAGUGAGCUUUAUGCUCAUGCGGGUUCGACUCCCGCCUUCGGCA
rnacentral:tRNA from 1 species